GGAGAGGUGCCGGAGUGGCUGAACGGGACGGUUUGCUAAACCGUUGAAGGGGAUUAAACCCCUUCCGAGGGUUCGAAUCCCUCCCUCUCCGCCA
rnacentral:tRNA from 1 species